UACGUAGGGCGCAAGCGUUGUCCGGAAUUAUUGGGCGUAAAGAGCUCGUAGGCGGCCAGUUACGUCCGCUGUGAAAUCCCGGGGCUCAACCCCGGGCGUGCAGUGGAUACGGGCUGGCUGGAGGCAGGCAGGGGAGAACGGAAUUCCUGGUGUAGCGGUGAAAUGCGCAGAUAUCGGGAGGAACACCUGAGGCGAAGGCGGGUUACUGGGCUGAUACUGACGCUGAAUCACGAAAGCUAGGGGAGCAAACGGG
rnacentral:rRNA from 1 species